UAGGGAAUCUUCGGCAAUGGACGAAAGUCUGACCGAGCAACGCCGCGUGAGUGAAGAAGGUUUUCGGAUCGUAAAACUCUGUUGUUAGAGAAGAAGGAUAGAGGCAGUAACUGGUCUUUAUUUGACGGUAAUCAACCAGAAAGUCACGGCUAACUACGUGCCAG
rnacentral:rRNA from 1 species